AGACUUAUUUCUACAAGUGAUAUUCCAUCUCAAAUAGAUCUAAAUGACGAAAAAACCAUAUAACCGAUUCUAACUAGUCUGGGAUUAAGGCUUUGUUGUUGUUGUUGUUGCAUUUUUAUUGUUGUUAUUGAAAAAAUAUUGUCAAUUUUUAGGUUCUAGAUUAAAGUUUGAACUUUCCUAAUUGUCUGGCUUUAUGCACUGGCUAGUUUGAACUAUAAUUUCCUUGACAAUUGAGUUAAUGUAUAACAACACUCACAAUGGCCUUUAUUUCUUACGUGCCAAAAUGCUUUAUUUAUUUAUUUAUUUUCUUAGAGAGAGAAACUGCAAAGACCAAAAUUUUAGAGAUGGAGGGAGAGAGGCAUUAGGAUGUUCUGUUUUUGCGGGAAAGCUAAAG
rnacentral:misc_RNA from 1 species